UUGAAAUAAACCUGAUGGGUUGUUGCUGGCUCUCCAGGGAGCAUGUGCACACCUUGUCAUCUUUAUAUCUCCACCUGUGCACUUUUUGUAGACCUUCUCAGGUCUAUGUUGCUUCAUUUUACCCCAAUGUAUGUCAAUAGAAUGUUGUGCCUAUGUAAUAUAUA
rnacentral:misc_RNA from 1 species